rnacentral:lncRNA from 1 species
CUCCAAGAAAGGGUUAUUGUUGCCGCAUUUCUCUACUUACUGGAACAAGAACCCUUAUUUCUUGGAGGGGCCUGUGGAACUACGGUCACUCCAGACCUGCUUGGGAGCAUCACUUGCGUUAGGAGCUGUACUCGGAGGAUCUCUUUAAUGAUGUAGGCUGAGUCAGCCCAACCACCACUGAAGCCAGCUACCAGCCUGUGUGAUCACGUGAUAUGUGACUACAUCUUGGCUUGUGAUAAACGAUCACGUCUCUUGACCCACAGGAGUUUGUAACAUUUUUUGGUGUAUACUGAGUCAUUACUAUUGCACUGAACCAAAAGUUUCUGCAUGCAGGAAUUCCUGGGCAAGAAAGCCACCAACUCCUGCUGAAUCUUGGAUAGAAUGUUUUCUCCAGUGAGUAGGAGCAACUGGGGUGGCGAUAAGAAAAUCAGACCUACAAUCAAACAAAAACCCUUUGCCUUCUGAGAAGUUUCAGGCAGGAGCAGAGAGAGUGUUUUAA